AGAAGAGCGCGACAUCCUGGUAGGAAAGUCGAAAAGUCCGACAAAGAUGAGAACAAUUUACAUACAGGAUGAAACGGUGGACAGAGUAAAAGUGGGUUUGUGGAGAAACACUAACAAAAACGUCAGAACUGGGGAUUUCGUCAAAAUCACUGAUUUGACAAUACACACUUACCAAACAAAGUACACAACUGAAACCAGCUUCAAUUCUACCUACACAACUUCAGUUACUAAAGUCGAACAACCAACUGUACAUGUGACGGUUACAGUAAUUGGUGCCUGUGUACAAGAUGACGUUACAGAACUUCUCCUCAGUGAUGACUCUGUGAGGGCAAUUCCUUCACAAUUAUUAAUGGCUGCCCUUCCAAAAGAACUUGAAGAAGACUUGGAUCCAGAAUCUUUCUUUGCAGAGCGAAAAACGAACUUAAGGCUGCAAUUAAAAGGAUCGGAAGUACUUUCAGUGAAACUUCAGUAAACUGUUAUACAUAUACAUGACAUUAUUCAGCAUUCCUAGUUUACCUUGUUUUUCCUAGUGUUUUUUUUUAUAAAUCUCCUACUUUUUCAUACUUUUUACAACAAGCUCCUACUUCUCCUAGUUAUGCCCCCCUUCGAAGAAGGGGGAUAUUGCUUUGCACAUGUUGGUGUGUUGGUCUGUCCGUCCGUCCACCACAUGAUUGUCUGAUGAUAACUCAAGAACGCUUAGGCCUAGGAUCAUGAAACUUCAUACGUACAUUGAUCAUGACUGGCAGAUGACCAACUAUUGAUUUUGAGGUCAAUGGUCACAGGUGAAGGUCAUAGUGACUGGAAAUAGGAAAAUGGUUUCUAAAUGAUAACUCCAGAAUGCUUACGCCUAGGAUCAUGAAACUUAAUAGGGACAUUGGUCAUGACCAGCAGAUGACCCCAACUGAUUUUCAGGUCAAUAGGUCAAAGGUCAAGGUCACAGUGACCUGAAACAGUAAAAUAGUUGAAUGGAAAUAGCAAAAUGGUUUCCAAAUGAUAACUCAAUAAAGCUUACGCCUGGGAUCAUGAAACUUAUAGGGGCAUUGAUCAUAACUGGCAGAUGACUCUUAUUGAUUUUCAGGUCACUAAAUCAAAGGUCACAGUGAAAAAAAAUGGUUUCCAGAUGAUAACUCAAGAAGUCUUACGCCUGGUAUCAUGAAACCAUCACCACCUGCACCACCACCUCAGUGACAAAAAACGUAUUCACACAAUAGCUGCCAUUACAACUGACAGCCCAUAUGGGGGGCAUGCAUGUUUUACAAACAGCCCUUGUUCUUUUUUAAGUAACAAGUCUUAAAAACUUUUAAUGGGCAAAAAAUAAUUUGAUUUUGUUAAUUUGAUGUCACCUGGAUAUGUAUAGAUGUAUUCAUAGGGUUUUAAAUAUAGUUGUGUUUGCUGUAGGUAUAAUGGCAUUUAACAUACCUGAAAUUACGCAUAUAAUUGCUUGAUUUUGACAUUUGCAAAGAUUGCCAAUAUACAACAUGAAGAAGUGAUUAGGCAAAAUUAUUUUUACAAUACUUGAGACUGGACCCUACACAUUCAGUUUAAUUGGGUCUAGCCACUCAUUAGUUAUCAAUAAGAAAGCAGGGACAUUUAAUAUUUGAGUUUCAUCUACAGAUCAUGUGAUGUAGCAUUUAUAGGUACAGGAAAAGACUCGACCUUGUAUAAAUGCAAAGGAUCUUUCAGUUAUAAAAUUAGAAGUUUUAAAAUUAAAAACAAGCUUGAUCUUGUAAACAGAAAAUCAUUCAUUGAGUACACGACUUUCCAUUGAUUAAAUCUGGAACUCCUAACUUAAAUUCUUCUAAUUCAUCAUGUUUGCUACUGGUUUCUCUUAAAUGAUCCAUAAGAAUACUUGUAACAUAAUCAAUGACUUGGUGCAUAUUUGAGGAUGUUGAUUGCAAUCCGCAGUCAAUAAAUUUGUUUGGUAGCAUGUUAUAUUUAAUACCUGACAUACAGUUGUCCAUUCUUAUAAAUGGUUAGUUUAUUCAUGUGAUCAGCAAGAAAAUUGACAUGAUCCAUUGUUGUAGUGCCGAAAAGUCCUUUUGAAAUUUUAUCUAUGAAAAGCAAAAGUGCACUUUUACUUCUAGAUUAGAUUAUGGUUGAUUAAAGAAUAAGACUCAAUACUCGAAAUUGUACACUUGUAUUUUGCUCCUGUUCAUUGUCUGAGGCUUUUUAUUCGAGUCAUCAUGGGAGAUAACAUGUGACACGAUUGAUUGUUCACUUAACAAGCUGGAAGUGCAGACAUCAAAUUAUUUUGUGGUCCUCUUCAAUUAAAGCAUGAUGUCUAUUUAUUAAAAGGGUGUUAUUUUCAACUGCUAAUAUGUAACGGUGAUUUUCCUGUAAAAUACUAUUUUUGUCUUAACCAUUUGAAAAUUUAAGUGCGUUUGCCUUUGUUAUUUAGCCCUUUUACAUUUACAGUACAUAUGUUAAUACUCAUUCAAAAGACAGAUAAUUGCAUGAUACUAUUCUUGUUCCAAACAUUUAAAAAUCAUUUUGUAGAACUAGAUUAUUAGUUAAUACUUCAUUAUGCAAAGUUAUAUUAAGCUUUAAUGUUUAAAACCAUCAACUUCCAUGUUCUACAAGUUGUUAAUGCAUUGUGUUCAUUAAAUUCAUCUCAGCACUAAAUACUUGUUCAUUUUUUUCGAUGUGUUGGUAACUCUACCCUGCCUUCAUUUAGAUUGAUCUCGGUACAAUUUAUAAACAUUUCAUUAUCACUAGCACUUUGCUUUUUGAGUGGUUACUCCUCCGUUGUUAUAUGAAUAAUUUAGUGAAAAUGUUAAAUGUGUUAAAAUAUUGUUCCAAAAUAUUUUAUAUCACUCAAUAGUGAUGCCAUCAGAUUCCGGACUUUUGUUAUUUGGCAUUUCUAAACGAGCUUGUCAAUAUUCAUAUUCAGUUUGUAAUCCUUCACAUACUUGUUAUUCCACUUCCUUUAAAGCAUGAUGUGUUAUUUUAAAGAGGUUGUUAUUUUCGACAUGCUUUCAUUUAAAGUGUUUCGCAAAAUAGGCUUCUUCUAUUAUUUGACUUUUAUUUGUUAUGUCUUUGCCAUUAACUACUAGUCUGUGUAUAGUUUUGUGUUUGCUACUACGUUUUAAAAUGUUUGCACAGUAUUUUGUAUUGUUUUCAUUGUGUUCAACAUGCUGUGCCCGUGCUCGAAGUAAUAUGCCUUUGAGGUGUGUGUGAUAAAUUCCUUCUAUUAUUUUUUUGUGUGUAAAAAUUUCCGUCUUCAAUGGAGGUGGUAUAAUUUGUGUUUCUUUUAUGCAUCUGUUUUUCAAGUGCUUCAAUUACUUUUAUGGCUUCAUUCUCAAGUUUGUGUGUUUUUUGUUUUUUUUUUACCUAACCUGAGCACAACGUGCUCAUGGUGAGCUUUUGUGAUCGCCUUUUGUGUGUCGUCUGUCGUGCAGCGUCAACAUUUACCUUUUUAACACUUUAGAGGUCACAUUUAUUGUCCAAUCUUCAUGAAACUUGGUCAGAACAUGUGUCCCAUUAAUAUCUUGGACGAGUUCGAAAAUGCUUCUUGUUGUUGAAAAACCUGGGUGCCAAGGGGUGUGGCAGUUUUCCUAAUAUGGCUAUUGUAAAACCUUGGUUAAGACUCUAGAAGUUAUAUUUUUUGUCUAAUCAUCAUGAAACUUGGUCGGGACAUGUGUUCCAAUAAAAUCUUUGACACGUUCAAAAAUGAUUCGGGUUGGAAGAAAAACAUGGCCGCCAGGGGGCGGGGCAGUUUUCCUUUUAUGGUUAUAGUAAAACUUGUUCACACUGUAGAAGUCAAAUUUAUUGUCAAAUCUUCAUGAAACUUAGUCAGAACAUUUGUUCUAAUGAUAUCUUGAACGAGUUCGAAUAUGGUUCCAAUUGGUUGAAAAACAUGGCUGCCAGGUGGCGAGGCAGUUUUUCCUUAAAUGGCUAGAGUAAAACCUUCUUAACACUCUAGAAGUCACAUUUUUAGUCCCUCACAACAUGUUUCCCAGUAAAAUCUUAAACGAGUUGGAAAAUGGUCCCAGUUGAAUGAAAAACAUGGCCGCCAUUGGUCGUGGCAGUUUUCCUAAUAUAGCUUUAGUGUAAAGUAAAUUUUCAACAUUCUUUCGUUUAUAGUGUUUCGAAAAAUAGGCUUCUUCUAUUAUUUGACUUUGAUUUGUUAUGUCUUUGCCAUUAACUACUAGUCAGUGUAUAGUUUUGUGUUUGUUUCUACGUUUUAAAAUGUUAAAAUGUUUGCACAGUAUUUUGUAUUGUUUUCAUUGUGUUUAACAUGCUGUGCCCGUGCUCUAAGUAUUAUGCCAUUGAAGUGUGUGAGAUAAAUACCUACUAUUAUAAUUUUUAUGUCCCCACUACAGUAGUGGGGGACAUAUUGUUUUUGCCCUGUCUGUUGGUUUGUUUACGCGAACUUUAACAUUUUGCAAUAACUUUUGCUAUAUUAAAGAUGGCAACUUAAAAUAUUUGGCAUGCAUGUGUAUCUCAUGGAGCUGCACAUUUUGAGUGGUGAAAAGUCAAGGUCAUCCUUCAAGGUCAUAGGUCAAAUAUAUGCGGCCCAAAUCGCUUAUUUUAUAAAUAAUUUUGCAAUAUUAAAGAUAGCAACUUGAUAUUUGGCAUGCAUGUGUACCUCAUGAAGCUGCACAUGUUGAGUGGUGACAGGUCAAGGUCAUCCUUCAAGGUCAGAGGUCAAAUAUAUGUGGCCCCAAUCGCUUAUUUUAUAAAUACUCUUGCAAUAUUGAAGAUAGCAACUUGAUAUUUGGCAUGCAUGUGUAUCUCAAAGAGAUUCACAUUUCAUUUUUGUAAGAAUUUCCUUCUACAAUGGAGUUGGUAUAAUUUGUUUUUCUUCUGUUUUUCAAGACCUUCAAUGACUUGUAUAGCUUCAUUUUCAAGUUUGUAUGUUACUUUUUUUAUUAGCUUACCUGAGCACAACUUUCUCAUGGUGAGCUUUUGUGGUCGCCUUUUGUGCGUUGUCUGUCAUGCAGCGUCAACAUUAACCUUGUUAACACUUUAGAGGUCACAUUUAUUGUCCAAUCUUCAUGAAACUUGGUCAAAACAUGUGUUAUUAAUAUCUUGGACGAGUUUGAAAAUGCUUCUUGUCAUUGAAAAACCUGCGUGCCAGGGGGCGUGGCAGUUUUCCUAAUAUGGCUGUUAUAAAACCUUGUUAAGACUCUAGAAGUUACAUUUUUUGUCAAUGAAAUCUUUGACAAGCUCAAAAAUGGUUCCGGUUGGAAGAAAAACAUGGCCACCAGGGGGCAGGGCAGUUUUCCUAUUAUGGCUAUAGUAAAACUUGUUCACACUGUAAAAGUCAAAUUUAUGGUCCAAUCUUCAUGAAACUUGCCGCCCGGAAGGGGGGAGGGGCAGUUGUCCUUAUAUGGCUUUAUUGAAAACUUGUUGACGCUAUUUUAGCCUCAUUUAUUGGCCAAUCUACAUGAAACUUGGUCAAAACAUUAUUUUGUCCCAAUGAAAUCUUAGCGAAGAUUGAAAAUGGGUCAUAUGAGCUUAAAAACUAGGUCACUAGGUCAAAUAUAGAAAAAAACAUGUUGAAAGUCACUUUUUUGGUCUAAUCUUCAUGAAUCAGCUUGCAUUUGUCCAGAAUAGUCUAGUACCUUUUGCUCUCAGGUGAGCGCCUUAGGGCCUAACGGCCUUCUUGUUUUAAAUGACGUGCAUCUUAUUGUUGUGUUAAGUAUCUUGCCUUUAAUUAUUUCCCAUAAGGUGUGUGGAUUUGCAUCUUUGUUAUCUUAAACUGUAUUGGUUAUUACCUGUUAUAUUUGUGUUUGAUAUUGUGUAUCUUUUCAAAAGCUAUUAUUUACUUUAAAAAAAAGAACAUUUUGAAUAACAUAAUUGAAAACUACAAUUUCAUAAACAUAUGGCAUACAGUUAAUCAUAAUGAAAAAAAAUACACCUUGCACUCAAACACAAAACCAGCAAUAUUUUGGAGAUAAGAUUUUUUUUAAUAUGCGAGUCUGUUGCAACAUUAUCGAAACAUGCAACAUAAAACCAGGAUUUAUGACUGAUCACUCGAUAGUUGAAUUUUAACUGCAUGAAAUACAACCUGAAAUAGCCCAAGGUACUUUAAAGAUUUCCAUUUCUUUUAUCUCCAAUAAUGUGUUUAGAACAAUAUUGAAAUCCUCUCCGACUAUCUAUGUUCGGACCGUAAACGUUCAUUAAUGUUAACAAUUAUUGUGUUUCUUGUAUUUUUAUGCCCCCCUUCGAAGAAGAGCGGGUAUAUUGCUUUGCUCACGUCGGUCGGUCGGUCUGUCGGUCGGUCGGUCCGUCCACCAGGUGGUUGUCAGACGAUAACUCAAGAACGCUUAUGCCUAGGAUCAUGAAACUUCAUAGGUACAUUGAUCAUGACUCACAGAUGACCCCUAUCGAUUUUGAGGUCACUAGGUCAAAGGUCAAGGUCACUGUGACCCGAAAUAGUAAAAUGGUUUCCGGAUGAUAAUUCAAGAACGCUUAUGCCUAGGAUCAUGAAACUUCAUAGGUAGAUUGAUCAUGACUAGCAGAUGACCCCUAUUGAUUUUCAGGUCAAAGGUCAAGGUCACGGUGACCCGAAAUAGUAAAAUGGUUUCCGGAUUAUAAUUCAAGAACCCUUAUGCCUAGGAUCAUGAAACUUGAUAGGUAGAUUGAUCAUGACUAGCAGAUGACCCCUAUUGAUUUUCAGGUCACUAGGUCAAAGGUCAAGGUCACGGUGACCCGAAAUAGUAAAAUGGUUUCCGGAUGAUAACUCAAGAACGCUUAUGCCUAGGAUCAUCAAACUUGAUAGGUACAUUGAUCAUGACUGGCAGAUGACCCCUAUUGAUUUUCAGGUCACUAGGUCAAAGGUCAAGGUCACAGUGACCCGAAAUAGUAAAAUGGUUUCCUGAUGAUAACUCAGGAAAGCUUAUGGCUAGGAUCGUGAAACUUCAUAGGUACAUUGAUCAUGACUCGCAGAUGACCCCUAUUGAUUUUCAGGUUACUAGGUCAAAGGUCAAGGUAACAGUGACAAAAAACAUAUUUACAAAAUGGCUGUCACUAUAACUUAGAGCCCAUAUGGGGGCAUGCAUGUUUUACAAACAGCCCUUGUUAUAUCUAUACUUGCUUGUCUGCCAAUCAUUAUUACGUUCAAGUAAUCCACUGUAUGACUUUUACUCAGACAAGCGAUGCCUUGUUUAUUUGUAUGUUGUCCGCUAAGAUAAAUAUCUCCGUCCCAACCACUUUUCAAUGUUUUUGCUUAGGUAUGUUUUAGGUGACUUUCCUGUAUAAAAAAGACUUAUAAUACCUUUUUUUGUCUAACCAUUUGAAACUUUUAGUGCAUUUAUCUUUGUUGUUUAGCCCUUGUACAUUUACAGUACAUAUGUUAAUACUCACACAAAAGAACGAAAAUUGCAUGAUGCCAUUCUUGUUCCAAACAUUUUAAAAUCAUUUUGUAGAGCUAGAUUAGUAUUAGUUAGUUCAUUAUGUCAAGUUAUAUUAAGCUUUGAUGUUAAAAACAAUUACCUUCCAUGUUCUACAGGUUGUUGAAACAUUGUGUUCAUUAAAUUGAUCUCAGCACUAA